rnacentral:pre_miRNA from 1 species
UGAAUCCCCAGAGGAGUGUGCCUGGAAACACAGGUGCAUUUUGGUCUUUUUUUAAAAAAAAUUGCGGACCAAAGUACACUUGUGUUCUCAGGUCACCCCUUUGGGAUCACC